AGAGUUUGAUCAUGGCUCAGAACAAACGCUGGCGGCGUGCUUAACACAUGCAAGUCGUACGAGAAAGUCCGCUUCGGCGGAUGAGUAAAGUGGCGCACGGGUGCGUAACACGUGGGUAAUCUGCCCUUCAGUGGGGAAUAACUCGCCGAAAGGCGGGCUAAUACCGCAUAAUACCGUUUCCACCCCGGUGGGGACGGUCAAAGGCAGCCUCUGUUUACAAGCUGUCGCUGAAGGAUGAGCCCGCGGCCUAUCAGCUAGUUGGUGGGGUAACGGCUCACCAAGGCUGUGACGGGUAGCUGGUCUGAGAGGAUGGCCAGCCACACUGGAACUGAGACACGGUCCAGACUCCUACGGGAGGCAGCAGUGGGGAAUCUUGGGCAAUGGGGGCAACCCUGACCCAGCGACGCCGCGUGAGUGAGGAAGGUCUUCGGAUCGUAAAGCUCUGUCGGAUGGGAAGAAAUGUGUGGGAGUGAACAGCUUUCAUGCUUGACGGUACCAUCAGAGGAAGCACCGGCUAACUCCGUGCCAGCAGCCGCGGUAAUACGGGGGGUGCAAGCGUUGUUCGGAAUCAUUGGGCGUAAAGGGCGUGUAGGCGGCUGGAUAAGUCAGAUGUGAAAUCCCUGGGCUUAACCCAGGAAGUGCAUUUGAAACUGUCCGGCUUGAGUGAGGGAGAGGAAAGUGGAAUUCCUGGUGUAGAGGUGAAAUUCGUAGAUAUCAGGAGGAACACCGGUGGCGAAGGCGACUUUCUGGCCCUAUACUGACGCUGAGACGCGAAAGCGUGGGGAGCGAACAGGAUUAGAUACCCUGGUAGUCCACGCUGUAAACGAUGUUCACUAGGUGUUGGGGGUAUUGACCCCCUCAGUGCCGUAGCUAACGCAUUAAGUGAACCGCCUGGGGAGUACGGGUCGCAAGACUAAAACUCAAAUGAAUUGACGG
rnacentral:rRNA from 1 species